GGCUGAGUGGUCUAGUGGUAUGAUUCUCGCUUUGGGUGCGAGAGGUCCCGGGUUCAAUCCCCGGCUCAGCCC
rfam:Pristionchus pacificus strain PS312 contig10759, whole genome shotgun sequence.